UACCAGCACCCCGAGUGGUCGGCGCGAUUAUUGGGCCUAAAGCAUCCGUAGCCGGUCCUGCAAGUCUUCCGUUAAAUCCAGCUGCUCAACAGAUGGGCUGCGGAGGAUACUACAGGGCUAGGAGGCGGGAGAGGCAAGCGGUACUUUAUGGGUAGGGGUAAAAUCCGUUGAUCCAUAGAAGACCACCAGUGGCGAAGGCGGCUUGCCAGAACGCGCUCGACGGUGAGGGAUGAAAGCUGGGGGAGCAAACCGG
rnacentral:rRNA from 1 species